CCUACGGGUGGCAGCAGUGAGGAAUAUUGGUCAAUGGCCGGAAGGCUGAACCAGCCAAGCCGCGUGAAGGACGAAGGUGCCAAGCAUUGUAAACUUCUUUUGUCAAGGGACAAAAUCAGGCUCGAGAGCCUGACCGAGGGUACUUGAAGAAAAAGCAUCGGCUAACUCCGUGCCAGCAGCCGCGGUAAUACGGAGGAUGCGAGCGUUAUCCGGAUUUAUUGGGGUGAAAGGGUGCGUAGGCGGACUGUUAAGUCAGCGGUAAAAGCCCGGGGCUCAACCCCGGCGAGCCGUUGAAACUGGCUGUCGUGAGAUGGCGAGAGGUAGGCGGAAUGCGCAGUGUAGCGGUGAAAUGCUUAGAUAUUGCGCAGAACUCCGAUUGCGAAGGCAGCAUACCGGCGGUGAUCUGACGCUGAUGCACGAAAGCGUGGGUAUCGAACAGGAUUAGAUACCCGUGUAGUC
rnacentral:rRNA from 1 species